AUGCGGAUGAUUGCAUAUGGCAUUCCGACUGACUAUGUCGAUGAAUAUCUUCACAUUGGCGAAGAUAUUACAAUUGAGUCAGUGCGUAGGUUCGCCAAAGUGAUCAUCCGUGUCUUUGGUUCUGUCUAUCUUCGGGCACCCAACGAGGAAGACACGAAAAUGUUGAUGGCAACAAAUGAGAAGCAAGGUUGGCCGGGCAUUGCUAGAAAGCGUUGA
rnacentral:rRNA from 1 species